rnacentral:lncRNA from 1 species
GGAAAUUGGGGUACCUGACAGGCGAAACUAAGAUGCCAGCUGCAACCAGCCCCGCUCUUCUCCAAAAAUGGAAGUCAAAGAACUCGAUGGUAGCUGCCUGGCUGGUCAACUCUAUGCAACCCGCCACCGGUAAGACAUACUUGUUCCUUCCAACCGCAAAAGAGGUUUGAGAGGCCGUAAAAGAGAUGUACUCAGAUUCCGAGAACUCCAAAAUUUUCGAAAUCAAAUCAAAAUUGUGGCAAACGAAGCAAGGGGAACAAGAAGUGACUGACUACUACCUUGAGAUGAAUGGGUUAUGGCAAGAACUCGACCAAAGUUCUGAAGAAGAAUGGACGUGUGCUGAAGACAGUGUUCGGUACAAGAAGAAACUGGAAAACGAACGUGUGUAUGAAUUCUUGGUAGGACUCCACCGCGACCUAGACAACGUCCGGGGGCAAAUUCUUAGCCAGCGACCCCUUCCCUAGCCGCGAGAAGUUUUCGCAGAGGUACGACGAGAAGAAACUCGGCGCAAGAUAAUGUUGAGUGAAAC